CUUGGUUAAUAUUCCUGUACUUCUGGUUACUGCGAUGGAGGGACGGAGAAGGCUAGGCCAGCUUGGCGUUGGUUGUCCAAGUUUAAGGUGGUAGGCUGAAAUCUUAGGUAAAUCCGGGGUUUCAAGGCCGAGAGCUGAUGACGAGUCGUCUUUUAGAUGACGAAGUGGUUGAUGCCAUGCUUCCAAGAAAAGCUUCUAAGCUUCAGGUAACCAGGAACCGUACCCCAAACCGACACAGGUGGUCGGGUAGAGAAUACCAAGGCGCUUGAGAGAACUCGGGUGAAGGAACUAGGCAAAAUGGCACCGUAACUUCGGGAGAAGGUGCGCCGGCUAGGGUGAAGGAUUUACUCCGUAAGCUCUGGCUGGUCGAAGAUACCAGGCCGCUGCGACUGUUUAUUAAAAACACAGCACUCUGCAAACACGAAAGUGGACGUAUAGGGUGUGACGCCUGCCCGGUGCCGGAAGGUUAAUUGAUGGGGUUAGCGCAAGCGAAGCUCUUGAUCGAAGCCCCGGUAAACGGCGGCCGUAACAAUAACGGUCCUAAGGUAGCGAAAUUCCUUGUCGGGUAAGUUCCGACCUGCACGAAUGGCGUAACGAUGGCGGCGCUGUCUCCACCCGAGACUCAGUGAAAUUGAAAUCGCUGUGAAGAUGCAGUGUAUCCGCGGCUAGACGGAAAGACCCCGUGAACCUUUACUGUAGCUUUGCACUGGACUUUGAGCCUGCUUGUGUAGGAUAGGUGGGAGGCUUUGAAGCGUGGACGCCAGUUCGCGUGGAGCCAUCCUUGAAAUACCACCCUGGCAUGCUUGAGGUUCUAACUCUGGUCCGUAAUCCGGAUCGAGGACAGUGUAUGGUGGGCAGUUUGACUGGGGCGGUCUCCUCCUAAAGAGUAACGGAGGAGUACGAAGGUGCGCUCAGACCGGUCGGAAAUCGGUCGCAGAGUAUAAAGGCAAAAGCGCGCUUGACUGCGAGACAGACACGUCGAGCAGGUACGAAAGUAGGUCUUAGUGAUCCGGUGGUUCUGUAUGGAAGGGCCAUCGCUCAACGGAUAAAAGGUACUCCGGGGAUAACAGGCUGAUACCGCCCAAGAGUUCAUAUCGACGGCGGUGUUUGGCACCUCGAUGUCGGCUCAUCACAUCCUGGGGCUGAAGCCGGUCCCAAGGGUAUGGCUGUUCGCCAUUUAAAGUGGUACGCGAGCUGGGUUUAGAACGUCGUGAGACAGUUCGGUCCCUAUCUGCCGUGGACGUUUGAGAUUUGAGAGGGGCUGCUCCUAGUACGAGAGGACCGGAGUGGACGAACCUCUGGUGUUCCGGUUGUCACGCCAGUGGCAUUGCCGGGUAGCUAUGUUCGGAAAAGAUAACCGCUGAAAGCAUCUAAGCGGGAAACUUGCCUCAAGAUGAGAUCUCACUGGGAACUUGAUUCCCCUGAAGGGCCGUCGAAGACUACGACGUUGAUAGGCUGGGUGUGUAAGCGUUGUGAGGCGUUGAGCUAACCAGUACUAAUUGCCCGUGAGGC
rnacentral:rRNA from 1 species